rnacentral:rRNA from 1 species
UCGGGGUACACGAGCGGCGAACGGGUGAGUAACACGUGGGUGAUCUGCCUCGCACUUCGGGAUAAGCCUGGGAAACUGGGUCUAAUACCGGAUAUGACCUUCCAGUGCAUGCUGGUUGGUGGAAAGAUUUAUCGGUGCGAGAUGGGCCCGCGGCCUAUCAGCUUGUUGGUGGGGUAACGGCCCACCAAGGCGACGACGGGUAGCCGACCUGAGAGGGUGACCGGCCACACUGGGACUGAGACACGGCCCAGACUCCUACGGGAGGCAGCAGUGGGGAAUAUUGCACAAUGGGCGAAAGCCUGAUGCAGCGACGCCGCGUGGAGGAUGACGGCCUUCGGGUUGUAAACUCCUUUCGACAGGGACGAAGCGAGAGUGACGGUACCUGUAGAAGAAGCACCGGCCAACUACGUGCCAGCAGCCGCGGUAAUACGUAGGGUGCGAGCGUUGUCCGGAAUUACUGGGCGUAAAGAGCUUGUAGGCGGUCUGUCGCGUCUUCUGUGAAAACUUGGGGCUCAACCUUAAGCUUGCAGGCGAUACGGGCAGACUAGAGUACUUCAGGGGAGACUGGAAUUCCUGGUGUAGCGGUGAAAUGCGCAGAUAUCAGGAGGAACACCGGUGGCGAAGGCGGGUCUCUGGGAAGUAACUGACGCUGAGAAGCGAAAGCAUGGGUANCAAACAGGAUUAGAUACCCUGGUAGUCCAUGCCGUAAACGGUGGGUACUAGGUGUGGGUUUCCUUCCACGGGAUCCGUGCCGUAGCUAACGCAUUAAGUACCCCGCCUGGGGAGUACGGCCGCAAGGCUAAAACUCAAAGAAAUUGACGGGGGCCCGCACAAGCGGCGGAGCAUGUGGAUUAAUUCGAUGCAACGCGAAGAACCUUACCUGGGUUUGACAUACACCGGAAACCUGCAGAGAUGUAGGCCCCCUUGUGGUCG